CCUACGGGUGGCAGCAGUAGGGAAUUUUGCGCAAUGGGGGAAACCCUGAUGCAGCAACGCCGCGUGAUCGAUGAAGCCCUUCGGGGUGUAAAGAUCUGUCAGUGGGGACGAUAACUGACGGAACUCAGAGAGGAAGCACCGGCUAAUACCGGGCAAGAAGCCGGGGUAAUACGGGGGGUGCAGGGGUUGUCCGGAAUCAUUGGGCGUAAAGGGGGCGUAGGUGGAACGUUAAGUCUGGUGUUAAAGGCGGAGGCUCAACUUGCGGAGGGCAUUGGAUACUGGCGGUCUUGAGUGCAGGAGAGGAGAAGGGAAUUCCUGGUGUAGCGGUGAAAUGCGUAGAUAUCAGGAGGAACAUCGGUGGCGAAAGCGAUUUUCUGGACCGUAAUUGACACUGAGGAUCGAAAGCCUGGGGAGCAAAUGGGAUUAGAUACCCGUGUAGUC
rnacentral:rRNA from 1 species